AACGGGUGAGUAAUACAUAAGUAACCUGCCCUAGACAGGGGGAUAACUAUUGGAAACGAUAGCUAAGACCGCAUAGGUACGGACACUGCAUGGUGACCGUAUUAAAAGUGCCUCAAAGCACUGGUAGAGGAUGGACUUAUGGCGCAUUAGCUGGUUGGCGGGGUAACGGCCCACCAAGGCGACGAUGCGUAGCCGACCUGAGAGGGUGACCGGCCACACUGGGACUGAGACACGGUCCAAACUCCUACGGGAGGCAGCAUG
rnacentral:rRNA from 1 species